AUUGAACGCUGGCGGCAGGCCUAACACAUGCAAGUCGAGCGAGCGGCGGACGGGUGAGUAAUGUCUGGGAAACUGCCCGAUGGAGGGGGAUAACUACUGGAAACGGUAGCUAAUACCGCAUACCAUCAGAUGGGCCCAGAUGGGAUUAGCUAGUAGGUGGGGUAAUGGCUCACCAAGGCGACGAUCCCUAGCUGGUUUGAGAGGAUGACCAGCCACACUGGGACGGAGACACGGUCCAGACUCCGACGGGAGGCAGCAGUGGGGAAUGUUGCCCAAUGGGCGCAAGCCUGAUCCAGCCAUGCCGCGUGUGUGAAGAAGGCCUUCGGGUUGUAAAGUACUUUCAGCGGUGAGGCGGUACUCGCAGAAGAAGCACCGGCUAACUCCGUGCCAGCAGCCGCGGUAAUAC
rnacentral:rRNA from 1 species